UAAUUACAAUUUGUAAAUUUUUACAAUCUUUACAAUAUAAAACAAUCAAAGAAGGAAUCUCUAAAAUAUAACAUGUAAAUGGUCCUCAUCUCAAUCAAACAAUUUACUUGUCCUAUAUAUAACAGGUAUUUAUAUAUACCAUUCCAUUGUCCUAUAUAUCAUAUAACUGGUGUUGAUAUAAAUAAUUCCAUUGUCUAAAUAUUGUAUAACAGGAAUUUACAUAUAA